rnacentral:rRNA from 1 species
GAAUUCACUAGUGAUUCAGGCCUAACACAUGCAAGUCGAGCGGUAAAGCCUUUCGGGGUACACGAGCGGCGAACGGGUGAGUAACACGUGGGUGAUCUGCCCUGCACUUCGGGAUAAGCCUGGGAAACUGGGUCUAAUACCGGAUAUGACCUCCUAUCGCAUGGUGGGUGGUGGAAAGAUUUAUCGGUGCAGGAUGGGCCCGCGGCCUAUCAGCUUGUUGGUGGGGUAAUGGCCUACCAAGGCGACGACGGGUAGCCGACCUGAGAGGGUGACCGGCCACACUGGGACUGAGACACGGCCCAGACUCCUACGGGAGGCAGCAGUGGGGAAUAUUGCACAAAAGGGGAAAGCCUGAUGCAGCGACGCCGCGUGAGGGAUGAUAAGGUUCGGGUUGUAAACCUCUUUCAGCAGGGACGAAGCGCAAGUGACGGUA